GGCACUUUGGCGGAGUGGUUAACGCGCUGCCCUGCUAAGGCAGUUCCUUCGGGAGCAUGUGUUCG
rnacentral:tRNA from 1 species